ACUGUUUCUCUGCUUAAUACUUCUCUUGCCGCAUCCAUUCUAUAAACGAACUAUCAAAUUCAUUUUCAUCUGAAACCAUUGCCAGUUACGCAAAUUAACACUUAAACAAGAAAUGGAAUAAGCGAUGCAAUUUUCAAAAGCCAAAUCUGAGUUAGUUACGCGGAGAUUUGUUGAGAUCAAAAAAUCAAAAUUCACCACUGUAAUCAACCAUACUACUAAUAAUCUGUAAUUAGACAAAAAAAAAAAAAGAGAGAGAAGUAUGCAGAUCCUCUCUUCUUGAGAAUAUGAAACUGCUAUGGAGAAAGAAUACCCCUUCACUUUGCCUACUAUUUUUACGCCUUUGCUCUUACACCCUUAACCAAGCAUUUGGAAAUUGAAUUUUUAUUAGUUUGAUUUACCCUAGCGAUUCCACCAAAAAACUAAAUCUUCUUCUUCUAUGUGGUGGUGAAGUAGAAAUAAAGAG
rnacentral:lncRNA from 1 species